rnacentral:rRNA from 1 species
GACAGAGGCCUCGAGCGUUAGGCGGAAUCACUGGGCUUAAAGCGUGUGUAGGCAGGCCCGUAAGUGUCUUGUGAAAUCCCCCGGCUCAACCGGGGAACGGCUGGGCAUACUGCGGGUCUUGGGCCGACUAGGGGCAGCCGGAACAAGCGGUGGAGCGGUGAAAUGCGUAGAUAUCGCUUGGAACGCCGAAGGUGAAAACAGGCUGCUGGGGUCGCGCCGACGCUGAGACACGAAAGCCAGGGGAGCAAACGGG